CCCUUAGAUGUUCUGGGCCGCACGCGCGCUACACUGAUGCAUUCAACGAGUCUAAAACCUGCUCUGAUAGGGGUGGGUAAUCUUUUGAAUGUGCAUCGUGAUUGGGAUAGAUGAUUGCAAUUUUUCAUCUUCAACGAGGAAUGCCUAGUAAACGCAAGUCAUCAGCUUGCAUUGAUUACGUCCCUGCCCUUUGUACACACCGCCCGUCGCUCCUACCGAUUGAAUGAUCCGAUGAAUAUCAUGGAUUGAGGAUGCAAGCAGGUUCGCCUGUCUUCAUCUUCGAGAAGUGAAGUGAAUCUUAUCAUUUAGAGGAAGGAGAAGUCGUAACA
rnacentral:rRNA from 1 species